rnacentral:misc_RNA from 1 species
AACAAGGCGUACCUGCGGACCUGCGGAAGGAUCAUUACCGAGUGCGGGUCCCCUCGCGGGGCCCAACCUCCCACCCGUGUCUACCGUCACCUGUUGCUUCGGCGGGCCCGCCUUCGUGCCGCCGGGGGGCCCUCUGCGCCCCCGGGCCCGCGCCCGCCGAAGACUCUAGGAACACUGAAUGAAGGAUGCCGUCUGAGUCAAACGACACAAUCGUUAAAACUUUUAACAACGGAUCUCAGA